ensembl:lncRNA
CUUUUCCUAUUUGGAACCAGUCUAUUGUUCCAUGUCCAGUUCUAACUGUUGCUUCCUGACCUGCAUAUAGGUUUCUCAGUUUGUUGCUGCUAAGUCGCUUCAGUCGUGUCCAACUCUGUGCGACCCCAUAGACGGCAGCCCACCAGGCUCCCCCGUCCCUGGGAUUCUCCAAACUACUAUAUGCCAGGCAUGGAACUAAGAGCUUUACAAGUAUCAUCUCCUUUUAUCUUAACAGUUCGGUGUUAUGGCUACUAUUAUUGGGUCCAGCUUUUCAGGUGGGAAAAAGUAAAGCACAGAGCUGUGCCAUUUUAUUCAAGAUGCUAGGAAGUGAGUGGCAAAGUCAAGAUUUAAAUUGUCAUUCAAUCACUCAGUUGUGACUCUUUGCGACCCCAUGGGACCCCAUGGACUGCAGUGCGUUGAAGACCACACAGAAAAUAAGCUAAAGGCGACAGUAAAGAAAGAUGGUAAAUAGAAUGCACUUUGAAAUGAAAUGUUAGCCUCAGUCACUCACAUGCCGUGUGAUCUUGGGUCCAUUGCCAUUCCUUGCUGUAUCAGUUUCUUCAUCUUUAACAUAAGAAUGAUAGUACUGCCCCCUGUGGUGGUCACAAAGAUUAAAUACAAUGCUUGUUAAGUCCUGGGAUGGUAAUUAGAGCUGUUGGCAAAAUAUCCAGGUUCUCCCCCUUCCCGGUACAUAUACUUUCUAUGUGAUUAAUUCUGGCAAUGCAUGAGCUGUGAGCAGAAGUGUUGUGUGUUACUGCCAGGCUGGAGCAUCUAGCGGCUGGUGGGAGAACUCCCGUGUGCCUCAUUUCUUUCUGCCAUGGUGCUGGGUGCUGGGCUCUAUUACCCCAGUCCUGGGAGUGUGGGUGACAAUGCAGAGACCCAGCUAUUCAGCAAUGGCAGUGUAGAAGAGCGAGAAAUCACCCGUUGAUGAUUUUGGUGUAUUACUAGCCCACGGAUACAAGUGAAUUGUAUACAACAAGCAUUUAGAGCAGUCUCUGAAAUUUAGUAAGGGCUUUUUAAGUUACAAAAAGGAAAUCGGUGGUAGGCAGAAUAAAAGGGAUUAUCAUUCUGAAAGGUUGUUGUUGACCCACGAAAAGACGCCAGGAUUCUUGGCCUCUGAAGGAGAAUUCAGUCCGGGGCCAGGGACGAGGCUUGAUAGCUCAGAGCUUUUGUAUAGAGAAAGCUUCUGAGAUAGGCAUCAGAAGGGGGCAGAAAGAGUGCCCCCCUGCUAGUCUUCGGCUGGAUGUUAUACAGUCACUAGCAGUCUGUUAACGAAAGAAAGGAAUGUCUUAAAACUCAGAAUGGCACCAGGCCCCUCAUCCAUAAGAUUUAUUUUGUGAUAAUCCUGGCACCAGAGGAGUCAUCCCCGGCAGUAAAAUGAUUGUCUUGAAUCUUGUAGAAGGGCAGAUUACCAUACAAAUAGUUUCGUUUAAAUAGAUUAGGGGAACAAUAUCUGAGUAUAACAUAAUGGUUUGUCAAUGUGGUUCUGAGCCAUUAGGUGGAAGACUUGGAGACAGUCUGGGGUAAAUGCAUAGUACAUUAACAUAGCUUAAGACAAACAUUUCCCUAAGAA